rnacentral:misc_RNA from 1 species
CUUAAAGAGUCAACCCUUUGCUUAUCUUCCUAUUUAAAUGUUAGCAGCCGCAUAGGCUGC